rnacentral:rRNA from 1 species
AGGACGAACGCUGGCGGCGUGCUUAACACAUGCAAGUCGAGCGGAAAGGCCCUUCGGGGUACUCGAGCGGCGAACGGGUGAGUAACACGUGAGUAACCUGCCCCUAGCUCUGGGAUAGCUCCGGGAAAACCGGGAUUAAUACCAGAUACGACCACUUUAGACAUCUGUCGUGGUGGAAAGGAUUCCGGCUAGGGAUGGGCUCGCGGCCUAUCAGCUUGUUGGUGGGGUAACGCCUACCAAGGCGACGACGGGUA